rnacentral:tRNA from 1 species
GGCGAGAUGGCCGAGCGGUCUGAGGCGCUCGUUUUAGGCACCAGUCUCUUCGGGACGUGGGUUCAAAUCCCUUUCGUCA